rnacentral:rRNA from 1 species
UACGGAGGGUGCAGGCGUUAAUCGGAAUCACUGGGCGUAAAGCGCACGUAGGCGGGUCGUUAAGUCAGGGGUGAAAUCCCGGAGCUCAACUCCGGAACUGCCUUUGAUACUGGCGAUCUUGAGUUCGAGAGAGGUGAGUGGAACUGCGAGUGUAGAGGUGAAAUUCGUAGAUAUUCGCAAGAACACCAGUGGCGAAGGCGGCUCACUGGCUCGAUACUGACGCUGAGGUGCGAAAGCGUGGGGAGCAAACAGG